UUUUUUUUUUUUUUUUAAAGACAUUGAGUUUAUUGUCCUUACUAGAGGACACAUGGUUUUUACCUUUUUUUAUCAAAAAUGAAAACCUGAAGUCAUUUUUAAAAAUUCUUUGUUUUGGAGUUCCCGUCGUGGCGCAGUGGUUAACGAAUCCGACUAGGAACCAUGAGGUUGCGGGUUCGGUCCCUGCCCUUGCUCAGGAUCGAACCUGUGGCCUCACGGAUACUAGUUGGGUUUGUUAACCACUGAGCCAAGAGGGGAACUCCCAGAGUAGAUUUUCUUGUGCUAUAGAGUAGCUUCUCCUUAAUCAUCUACUUUAUAUAGUAUAAACACUAAUUUUGAAUCACACAGAAAAGCCUAUUUCAUAUUAGCAUUACAUAUGAACGGAAUAACAAGUACACAAUAUUUUAAAGAGUUUUGUUUUUUUUUAAAGAGUAUAUAAGUUUUAGGCAACGAGUUAAUUAGAUGCCUUGUUUGUCAAGUUUACCCCAUUUCCUGGCUAGACAGGGUCACUAAGCCAUUGCUAUAUUAGACUCAGUGAAUAUUAGCUUUCCAUGUGUAUUUGGGGAAAUGAAAACAUGUCCAAAUACACAUGCUUCUUGACAUUUUACUUCCUUUAAUUUUCGCUUUUUAAUCCAUUUCCCUUUAAGUCUUUAAUCAUCUUUCCAGUAAAGAUUUUCCCUUUCAUUCUGUUCAUGUGUCUUAGGAAUUAAAUAUCCUAUUCUCAGUGGUUUCAUGUAAUCAAAACCUCCCGAUUCAAACCCUGUGUGCAAUCUGCAGGGAGAAAUGAUUAAAAGCGCUUUGCAGAUUUGUUUACGCUCUGCUCAGAAUAAGAAAGUGCAGACUUUUAAAUAUCUGCGAAGAGACUGCCAAUCCAUUACCAUUCUGGAUGAACUUUCUGAACAAGACAUUUUCCAUUAUUUACAGUAUGAGAUGCUUGCAGUCAAGUUUCUGCUAGAAACACUUUUGGGUAAUAGAUGGCACAAAACGAGGCCACGUCGGUCGGUUUCAUGCGCACAAGCUCAUUAAAGUUUUAAACACCCAGACCAAACCACAACCUCUGGCAGCCAUUGCUGAAAGGCCCCAAAAGAUUCCCCAGCAGAAAUAAAGCCAUGGACACAGAUGAAAUUUAGGGCGUGGGGGUGUCGAGGAAGUGAGACAGCAAUUUUUAGUGUAUUUUUUUAUGUAAAUGCUUCCAAGGGACCGAUUCUUACCCUAACAGUCUUCCAUGGCUGCAGUGGGGGCACCUCACUGAAAGAUUGAUUAUCCGAUGAUGAAGUAGGGACAACGAGUCAUGUUCUUUAAAAGCGACUGCUCAUGAAGGAAAGGAAAACACGGGCCUGUCAUUCAAGGAGACACAGGAUGGAGAGAGAUGCUCACAAGCACAGAGCUUGGAGAGCAACAGAUCUGGAUUUAAACCUCAGCUGCGCUGCACACCACUUGUGGGACCUAAAGCAAACCAGGGAACUUCUGUGCACGAGGUGGUAUGUGUCAAAUGGGGCAUAUCACUCCUAAUCUCAAAGGAAGACUGUACUUGACACAAACAUGAUUCCAUAAAAUGUGGAGCAAACUCUGGAGUACGUGCACGUAAAAAUUUUAACUACGUUGAAUGCUAUUAUGAUUCUUCUAUCUAAUGGAUUGUAUUAACUGUGAAAAUUCUUCUAAUUUCCAGGCGUGUAAUUCAUUGUUUCUAGGUUUGAGUCUUAAAAUGACUGGCAUCAGCACUUUAACUGGUAGAUUUUAUACUGAGCAAUCAAGACACUCCAUUGCCAGAACUGAGAGUACACAGGGGACCCUGGGACAGCUCAGGAGUGAGGGGUACCAAUUCUCCUCGAAGUCAAAAACCUGCACAUAACUUUAUAAUCACGAAUCUGUAUCUAUGGUCCCACAUCCUAGAUUCAACCGACUGCGGAUUGUGCAGUACUGCAGCAUGUAUUUGUUGACAGAAAUCCAUGUGUAAGUGAACCCGCCAUUCAAACCCAUGUCUUUCAAAGGUCAGCUCUAUGUAUUUUGUGUCUAUAACCACAAAUGAUCAGGAGCCGAGCAUAUUUAUAAGACAGUUACCAAAAAAACCAAAACAGACUUCUAGAGUAGGUUUUCUUAAGGAGAACCUACGAAAUCCUUCUUUUGCUUAAGCAAUGUACGCUCUAGGAAUGAUUUUAGGGAGCAUUAGCUGCACCAGAAAUGUGGAGAAGAGUGGAUACUUAAGUAUCGAGAGGAAUUUAAAAGUUAAUUGUUGGGGUUAGAGAAAGUAGGUUACCUGAAAUCAAGGAACGGGAGGAGGGUCAGGAGAGGAAGAAUUAACAUGCUGCUCUAGCCCUGAUGGUUAGACGAGGAAACGAGAGAAGUGGACAGUGAGAGAACCACGGGAAUAGAGAUUCACCCUUGGGAUGCCGAAGGGCCGGGGGUGCGCCGUGGCAGCAAACCCCCAGCAGGGCGCACCCUACGGUGAAAUUCAGACCAGGUUGAAAAAGAAGAGUCCUUACAUUCUGGGACGAAGGCCAGAGUUCAAAACCAAAAACAGGGGAUCAUUAUUGUAAUCUGGAAGGAUGCAUAUAACGCUAUUCACAUUCCAAGCCAGAAGCAGACUGUGCUCCGAAAGUUUACUAUUUCACCCCCUUAAUAACUGAACAUGUCUCCCCCUUAAACCAUAUAUAAAUUUCUCUGUUAUGACACCGAUACGCAAGUUCUCUGUGAUUUAACUGUGAUUAUAAAUGCUGAGAAAACAGUGACUAAGAAGACAAGGUCUUAUAAAGAACAGACUUUUGGUUGUCAAGGCGGCGGGGGGGGGGGGGAGGAGGAUGGACUGGGAGUUUGGGGUNGACCUCUAUCCACUCUCUUGGGAUCGACCAUGAUGGAAGAUAAUAUUACAAAGGGAAUAUAUUUAUAUAUAUAUGACUGGGUCACUUUGCCAUACAGCAGAAACUGGCACAGCAUCAUAAAUCAACUAUAGUUUAAAAACAAUAAAAAGAUAAACAAAAGAAGAUAAGAUCUUUAACAAUGAAGGGCAAGUAAGUUUAACAAUCCUGAAACAAUAAUACGAGCUAAUAUUUAUUGAGCACUUAUCAGUUGCCAGGUACCGUAAUCUUAUUUUUUAAAGUGGAAAAAUGAAGCAGAGAUGCAUAACACCUGGUAAAUAGUACCAGCUUUAGUAACAGUGGGGAAAUUGAUUGUGUAUUAAGCUAGAGAGAGGGUCAGAGAGAGAAAAACAGAGAGAAAGACAGAAAGAGAGAGAUUUGGUAAGUUUAUGGAAAUACUUAGCAUUAGUUUUCUGACACAUAAAAUGAGAUUAAAAAUGUGAACUGGGGAAGGUUGUGAGGAAGAGUGGUAGGAGUUAAUGCAUAAUCUAUUAAAACCUUAAUAUGAGCAAGAACAGUUCCAAGUGCUUCACAAGGACAGCCCAUCCGUUUGCACAACAAAGCCAUGAGAAGAACACCCUUGACCUGCAACUGUACAGGUUAGGACACUGGGGGCAGGAAGGUGAAGGGACUUCUGCAGAAUGACUGUUAGUAAGUUGCAGAGUGGCUUUUUAGGCCAGGCAUUCCGGUCCCAAAGCCCAGUCUCUUCAAUACUAUAUGCUUUCCCAUCAAUACCACACUUAAGAUCUUAUUUAUACAUGUGAGCGUGCUUAGGUCUAUAUAAACUCAUACACAUUUUACACAUGCAUAUUAAAACGUGUUCAUAAUGUACAUAAAACAAAAUAAACUCCCCAUAGGCUAUUGUUGUUGUCAUUUUUAUUGCAAUUAUUAUUAUCAUUUCAUAGAAACUAAUUCUGUCCUACAGCUCAUUUCUGGAACCAGGACCCUUUAAGUCUUAGGGUAACCAUAGAAAAAAAGGAAAUAAAGAACAGGAGAAAAAUAAAAAAAAUUGACUGGCUUAUAGAGUUUUUGAUAUCGUGCUAUCUGAUUGGACAUAGAAGUGAGGCAAGUUUUUUCUGCCAUACUUCUGUAAGGACAUUCUACUUCCAUUCCAAAUGAAUUCUAGGCAAUUUGAAUACUAACAAGAACAAAAUAAACUUUAUCCACUUCCCAUCUUUUCACACUUUCAGCACUUUCCUUGGAGCAAAUCAAAUUCUGUUCUAGAAGAACAUCUAAAAGAUGAAGAUUCUACUGUUGCCUUUCGUCAGAGUUCAGACAUAACUAUGGAAGCUCCCCUCAUUUCAUUUCAUGAGUACAUACUCUCUUAGGAUCUGUGCUAUAUAUACUUUGACCCAUCUGCCAAGUUCCCAAAUGCAAGGACAUACAAAUAACUGGAAAAUAUAUACAUACUGAUUAUGAUAAAACCUUUGGGGAAAAAAAAAAAAAAGCCCUGUUAGGGAGUUUCACACUGUUUAAUAUAAGAGUAGUAACUCAUAUCACCAGCUAAGGAGGCUAGAAUUCUUGUCUCAAUUCCAAUUCAGGGAACUCUCAAUAAUCAUCAAUAGAUCAAAUGAUUAUGCUAUGAAAAAAAAAUCUAUUUUUUACCCUUAAUUCCUAAAGAGAAGGUAGCACACAUCUCCUGUACAGUCUAUGAGGCAUCUGCCUGGACAUAGAUAUGGAUAAACUUCUAACAUGCCUUUGACCUCAGAUGGUCCUGUUUCGUGACAUUAAAGAAACAUCUGAUAUUCCAUGCUCCUGGGUUGGAAAAAUUAACAGCAUAAAAAUGGUCAUACUACCCAAAGCAAUCUACAGAUUCAAUGCAAUCCCUAUCAAAUUACCCCUGACAUUUUUUUCACAGAACUGGAACAAACAAUCUAAAAAUUUAUAUGGAACCACAAAAGAUCCUGAAUUGCCAAAGCAUUCCUGAGGAACAAAAACCAAGCAGGAGGCAUAACUCUCCCAGACUUCAGGCAAUAUUACAAAGCCACAGUAAUCAAGACAGUGUGGUAAUGAUGCCAAAACAGACACACAGACCAAUGGGACAGAAUAGAGAGCCCAAAGAUAAACCCAGACACCUACAGUCAAUUAACUUCCACAAAGCAGGCAAGAAUAUAAAAUGGGAAAACGACGGUCUUUUCCAUAGGUGGUACUGGGACAACUGGACAGCUGCAUGCAAAUCAGUGAAACUAGAACACACUCUCACACCAUGCACCAAAAUAAACUCAAAAUGGCUUAAAAGACUUAAA
rnacentral:lncRNA from 1 species